rnacentral:rRNA from 1 species
GUUGAACGCUGGCGGCAGGCUUAACACAUGCAAGGCGAACGAGUGGCGGACGGGUGAGUAAUGCUUGGGAAUCUAGCUUAUGGUUGGGGAUAACUACGGGAAACUGUAGCUAAUACCGCGUACCAUAGGAUGAGCCCAAGUGGGAUUAGGUAUUUGGUGAGGUAAAGGCUCAACAAGCCGACGAUCUCUAGCUGGUCUGAGAGGAUGACCAGCCCAACUGGGACUGAGUCACGGCCCAGACUCCUACGUGAGGCAGCAGUGGGGAAUAUUGCGCAAGGGGGGCAGCCUGACGCAGCCAGGCCGCGUGAAUGAAGAAGGCCUUCGGGUUGUAAAGUUCUUUCGGUAGCGAGGCGUUAACUACAGAAGAAGCACCUGCUAACUCCGUGCCAGCAGCCGCGGUAAUUC